rnacentral:rRNA from 1 species
ACCCGCACAAGCAGCGGAGCGUGUGGUUUAAUUCGAUGCUACACGAAGAACCUUACCAAGGUUUGACAUGCAAGUGGUAGUGAUCUGAAAAGUGAACGACCCUUCGGGGAGCUUGCACAGGUGCUGCAUGGCUGUCGUCAGCUCGUGUCGUGAGAUGUUCGGUUAAGUCCGCUAACGAGCGCAGCCCUCACUGUGUGUUAUACGUGUCACACGGGACCGCCGGUUUUAAGCCGGAGGAAGGCGAGGAUGAAGUCAAGUCAGCAUGGCCUUUAUAUCUUGGGCUACACACACGCUACAAUGGUCUGUACAACAGGUUGCCAAGCCGCGAGGCGGAGCCAAUCCUAAAAGCAGGCCUCAGUUCAGAUUGUAGGCUGCAACCCGCCUGCAUGAAGUUGGAGUUGCUAGUAAACGCAGGUCAGCCAUACUGCGUUGAAUACGUUCCCGGGGCUU